AAUAGAUACCCCGGUAGUCCUAGCCGUAAACGAUACUCGCUAGGUGUCGGCCACGGUGCGACCGUUGUCGGUGCCGUAGGGAAGCCGUGAAGCGAGCCACCUGGGAAGUACGGCCGCAAGGCUGAAACUUAAAGGAAUUGGCGGGGGAGCACCACAACGGGUGGAGCUUGCGGUUUAAUUGGAUUCAACGCCGGAAAUCUUACCGGGACCGACAGCAAUAUGAAGGCCAGGCUGAAGACUUUGCCGGAUUAGCUGAGAGGUGGUGCAUGGCCGUCGUCAGUUCGUACUGUGAAGCAUCCUGUUAAGUCAGGCAACGAGCGAGACCCACGCCCACAGUUGCCAGCGUACUCUCCGGAGUGACGGGUACACUGUGGGGACCGCCGCUGCUAAAGCGGAGGAAGGAAUGGGCAACGGUAGGUCAGUAUGCCCCGAAUAUCCCGGGCUACACGCGAGCUACAAUGGUUGGUACAAUGGGUAUCUACCCGAAAGGGGAUGGAAAUCUCCUAAAGCCAAUCUUAGUUCGGAUUGAGGGCUGCAACUCG
rnacentral:rRNA from 1 species